AUGGUCACUUGGUAUGAUUUGCGACUAAGGUUGCAAAAGCAUCAAACUAUUAAUUGUGUAGCGCAGCGACAACUUGAGAAAGAAAAGGACCAUUGGAGAAAGGUUCUAUUUAGAAUUCUUUUGAUGGUAAAAUUUCUUGCGAAACACAAUCUUGCAUUUCGUGGUACUAACUCGACAUUGUAUCAAGAUAAUAAUGGAAAUUUCUUAGGCUUGGUUGAAAUGCUAGCUGAGUUCGACCCAAUUAUUCAGGAGCAUGUUAGGCGCAUAACAAACAAUGAAACUCAUGUUCAAUACCUUGGUCAUGGGAUACAAAAUGAGUUAAUACAUUUGCUUGCUUCUGCAAUUAAGUCAGAGAUAAUUAAAAAAAUAAAAGAAGCAAAGUAUUUUUCCGUGAUACUUGAUUGUACCCCUGAUGCGAGCCACCAAGAACAAAUGUCUCUGAUAAUACGAUAUGUCAAUGCAUCUUCGACUUUUGUUUCCAUUGAGGAAUCAUUUUUAGGAUUUUUGGAUGUCAAUGAUACAACUGGGCAAGGGCUUUUUGAUGUUUUGCAGGAAGAACUACGGAAUCUUGACCUGGAUCUAGAUGAUGUGAGAGGAUAG
rnacentral:rRNA from 1 species